CGCGCAGGGAGGGGGCGGGGUGCGUGUCGUCGUUCACUCUUUGUGCGGCGCGGCGCAGGCCCGGGCGGCGGCCAAGUCGCUUUGUCCUCGCCGGGUGGGGACGCUAGGUCCCGGGUGGGGUCGAGGUGGAGGGGGGCGGUCGUCAGUGCGCUUGUCCCCUCCCUGAGAGUCCCGCACUCACCCUCCGGAGCUACUGCGGGCGUUCCGCAGCUAGCUUAGGCCUAUCGGCCUCGGAUAAAGCUCACGGGGCCCUGAGGCCGCAGAGGCGACAACGCACAGAGCCAGGCGCACGCUCUGUGACCAGAGGCUGCAGCCUCCCGGGCCACCCUUCUUAAUGUUUGUUCUGGUGUGGCAGAGGCCGCCAGGCCCGCGGGAGCUGGGGGAGGCCGGGGAAAGGAGGCCCAGAGGUGUUGGGUUACCGGCGGUGAGUCACGGUCCGCUCCAGCAGCAGAGGCCCUGCAAGCCCCCAGCUCCGGCACGGUCAGGGCAGCGCCCUCCUGGAGCAACCGCAGGGCCUGGAAAGUCCCCAGGAGGGAUGCUUCGGGACCCCCGGCUCUCUCGGGGGGAAAAGGCGGAGUCAGGAACGAAGGGAGGCUCGAAGGAGGAACCCGGCCCUUCGCCAGGGCGCCCAUCUCCCGGUAAAGUCCGGGAGUCCGACAGGGACAACCACCGAAAAAACCAGAUACUAGGAUGGGAAGACCUGACAGGAAGAGCGUCUGGUGUAUUCCCGCAAGUACUGGAGCUUCCUUCUGCAGCUCUCGGGUUCCUCCCGCCCUCCGAAUUCCUUCUGUCUUCACUCCUGUCCACUUAUCACCUUACACUGGACUCAGGCAACAGCCUGCCUGCACGAGACCCUUCCCCCAACCCCCCAAGCCCCUGCUGUCAGAGUCGUGGCCUGAAAUACACCUCAGUACCCAUUAUCGGCCCUCACUCCUCUGCUCCGUUCUGGACUUGAUAGUGGUCUUAUCUCCAAACGUUAUUUACUUGUCUUACUGAUGCCUGAAACCCCUCUGCCCGUCUCUGCCUACCUUAAAAGCACUCACAUAAGACAAAACGCAAAGGUCAUGUUUAUUCCUAUCUGUUCGUUCCACCAGCCUUUUCAGGGACUCCCUGCGCCCCACCCCCACCCCCAAUUCCUGAAACUGCACUGCUGUUAAACAGUCUGUAGACAUCCGUGCAUGUAGAUUGAAAGAGAAGUUAGUGACCUGCAACUAAUUUGAGUUAGUCAGUCAGUCAGUCAGUCAGUCAGUCAGUCAGUUAGUUAGUUAGUUAGUUAGUUAGUUAGUUAGUGUCCCCGGCCCCCAACUGGAUUGGCUGGGUGACUUAACCUCUUAAGAGUUUCAUUUGCUCUUCUUAGAAUAUGCAUCUUGGUAGGUCUAAUUGGUUUUAAUUUUGGUUUGGUUUUCAGGUAAACGGAUUGUGUCUACACUAGUCAUUAAACUGCCAAGUGUUCUGGUCCCUUCUCUCCCCCAGGAUGUGGUAGGAAAUGAUUACCCCGCUCCCUCCCUCAGGGUCAUAUCUGGCUGUAUAACUUGCCUAGGCUGAAAGAUUCCAUGCAAGCAUGACCUGUGUCUUCCACUCAGGAACUUAGCUACAGAAUAAGUCACCAUGUCCCCAGUCCUCGUCUUGACAAGCAGUGCAGAGUGGGAGCAAGCUGAGACCCCCUGGAAAGGGGACAGAAGUCCCCAGGAAGGCUGAAUUGGAAAGCAAUGGGAGCAAAUAUUCUUCUGAUGUCUUCAGCUAGUGAGAUGAUAGGUGUUUGAUAGGGCAGCAUAGCCUGUCCAGGCAGGGCUGCUCUUGAGUGCAAGGGGCCUCGUCCCUAUCUGUUGGAUGGACAGAACUUACCAUAUGCAGGUGACCAUUUUAUAACAGCAAAUUCUGUUGGCAGAGGUAGCUGCUGUAAUUUCUGUGUUCGUUUGGGGCGGGUUUAGAACGUGGCUGACAUUUCUUAGCUUGUACUGAGUAACAUCAACACUGAGACUUAAUCCCCACCUGUCACCCCUCUGCUCAUGCCCAGUUACCUACCCCCUCCUUAAGUGGGAAGGAAGCGAGACCCAAGUACAGUGUGUGGCACACGGUCAUGUCCCAGCACUGGGAACUCCUGCUCCGUCUGAAUUCCUGUAAUAGUGAUAAUUGAAACACAAAACAUUCGUGUGACUAUGCGUGUGGGUUUUUUAAUUACAUGUAUGUGUUCUGUGUGUGUAUAUGUGUGCAAGCGUACAGAUAAAAGGGCAACUUUGAGAGGUCACCAUUCUCCCUCAAACUUCGACCACUGGGCCUUGAUCGGCUGAGCCCACAUGUGUUUAUUUUACACAGAGAGACUAUCUCCUCUAACUUUAAAUGGGUGGCCGGGGAAACUGCAGCCUCAGCGGAGCCCAGGCUCCUCCGAUCAGAGCUGGAGUUCUAGAGUCAAACAAACUAGGUUCAGAUCCUGAACCGGAAUUCAUCGUGAUUGCCUGCUGGUUAUUUCCUCCUCUCUUUGUGUCACUGCUCUGCCCUGUCAGUGGUGGUGGGAACAACUGUGUCCCCACCAGUGGUCCAGUGAUAGCAGUGUGUGUGUUCCUCAACGUUGCUGUGGAUUCCUGAGGUAUCCAAUGCAUCCUCAGUAGACGGUGGCUAAUACUGUCCGGUUUACUUGUACUUCUCUCGAGGUUCCUACCAGAGUUCUGAGGAAUUAUCAGCCGCUUGAUCAUACCGCCUGAUAGCUUCUGGCUCCGAGCUGGAUCCUGGACAGAUGUUGUAACAUCUGUACUCAGAAGCAUCCACACCAGCUCACAAUUUCUAGUAAGCACAAGGUUUCUCGCUGGCCCUGUGUUAUAUCGCUGUUCUCAAAGCAACGUGAAGGAAAGUGUUCUGUUCCCCUUCUUGAAAGAGCUUUGUUCGGAAAGUGGGUGUGUGUGUUUGUGUGUGUGUGUGUGUGUGGGUGGGUGAGAGAGAGAGAGAGAGAGAGAGAGAGAGAAUGGGGUUCCCAUUUCACUGUUGAGAAAAAUGAAUGUCAACAAAAGUUGGCUACAUUACAUGUUCCCAAACAGUAACAGUUUAAGUCGGGAUUUGAAUCCAGCCCCAUCUAACAAAGGCUCCAAGCUGCCUGCGGUCUAACUCACCAACUCAUGUGGACUGUUAACUGGUCUGUAUCGGUAGGUAAAGUUCAAGUUACCUAAAAUCACGACAUUUCUAAUGGACACCGGACUUGGAAAUAACCGUUUGAAAAGAGUUCAUUCUUCACUGUGGCAGAAGAAAUCUGACUGUCCGCCAAGAAUUCACAAUCCCCCAUAAUGAACUGUCACCUCUAGGUUCCCAGUUCCCAGGUUCUGGGAGGUUGUGGGAUCUUUGGGAGGUUAGCCCCAGCUGGAGGAAAUGGGUCACUGCAGGGAGGAUCUGAUAAGUCAUUAUAGUCUUGUCCCAGAUCAUCUCUGCUUCCUGCUCCCCAGAGGUACGAGUAAUCCCUAACUGCAUACUCCUACUGCCAUGAACUCUGCCAUGCCUUCCCCACCACCAGGGACCGAAACCUCAAACUGUGAGCCCAAAGAAAUCAGAGUUCUCCUUAAGUUGCUUCUUACCAGAGGUGGUGAGAUUUUUAUCAAUCUGUUUAUUUGGCAUUGCAUGUAUGAGUGAUCUAAUCAGGGAGGCAUUGGACAGUUUUAUUGAAAUGGUACAAAAAUUCAUUCAGCAAGACCAUUUCCCUACUCCAUGGCCAACUUUGGGUCUAACAAUGAGUAGGACAGCUCAGAUUUGGUUCCUCUUCUCGAAGCUAACAGUCUAGAGCAGCAAACACAGUUACAGCCUCCAGCCAAUCAACUUGGGAAGCACUCAUGCUACUUGAAUAUGGGAUAGACCAAAGCAAAUAUUGGCUCAUGAAUUGACACCGAGAGCCCUAAUUCGUUCCCUCUGCUAAAUGGCUUUGGAGCCCAUAGCCAUGACAACUGAGGGCACAGGCUUCAGGAUCGAAAGCGGCCUAGUUCAAGCCCUAGCCGGGUGGUCCUGAGCUGCCUUCUCUUUAUUUUUGGCUCUCAUCUUUAAAGUAGAGGUGUUUUCAAGGUUUUAGUUAAAAGAAUCAUAUAGUUUGGCCAAGUGUCCCCUAAAGGUGGGUAUGGAAAAGUUUAGUCCCCAGGGUGGGAUGGGUGGGUAGUCCUCUUUAAGGUGUGCUUGCAGACAAGAGGCUAGCGUGGCUGUCCUCCACCCAGCAGCUGACUCAGACAGAUGCAGACACCCACAGCCAAACAGUAGAUGGAGUUUGGGGACUCUUAAUGGAAGAACAGAAGGAAGGAUUGCUGCCUCUGAGGGGGUAGGAACUCCACAGGAAGACCAACACAGUCAACUAACCUGGUCCUGUGAGGCUCUCAGACAAUGAACCAGCAACUAAAGAACAGACCUAGGCCUCCCCGCACGUAUGUAGCAGAUGAACCCAACCAUAACAUUUUACUUCUGUACUCGUAACUUUAAAUCCUACCUUCUUUUUCUCAUCUUCAUGUGGAUCCCAAACAACAGGAGCCGGGCCAUCCCAAAAGCUAUUGCCUGUAUGUGGGAUAUGUCCUACCUGGGCUGCCUUGUCUGGCCUCAGUGGGAGAAGAGCCAAGCCUGGCAGAGACUUGAAGUGCCAGGGUUGGGGGGAUACCUAGACGGGCCUCCGUCUGCCCACAGGAGAAGGGGAGUGGGAAGAAUUGUAGGAGGGGGUGACCGGGAGGGGGCAGUGAGUGGGAUGUAAAGUGAAUACUUAAAAUAAUAAUAAAUUUAAUUUUUUUCUGUUAAAAAAAAUCGGGUGGUUUCCAGUGGGGGUGUGCUCAUGGAGGGAACUGUGGGCUUCUUCCUCGUCCUUGCCACUCUCAGCCAGCACUGUCCUGCUCCACUGAAUUCUCCCACAGACCGUGUGUCACCUGGACACAGGCCCAAAGCAGUAGAGGCUGUGAGUCAGGAAAUGAAACCUCCGAAAUGGUGAGCGUAAAUAAAUGUCAAUGAUCCCAUGCAUUUGUGCCAACAGCAGAAAGCAGGCAAGAAUGAUGAGUUAACGCAGAAAAACUAAAAGCAGCGAGAACAGUGAGACCCAGGCAGGAGCCCGCAAUCCGCGUCAGAUAUCAAUAUUUUCUGCUGCUUUCCCACUGGGAGUAUGUUUUGUAUGUGCGAACAUAAAAGGCAAGAUCUGUCCGUGGGACUGGUAGGUGCGGGUGGGAGAGGACGUGGAUAGAGUUCCCCUAACCCCAAAUCAGAAACUUUAGGGACAGUAGCAUCAUGGCACAGAUGGAGAAUCCAGCAGCAGAACGCUCUGUGCGGUGUACUGCGUUAUUUCUAUGUUUACAUAGUGUG